rnacentral:rRNA from 1 species
AUUGAACGCUGGCGGCAGGCCUAACACAUGCAAGUCGAGCGGAUGAAGGGAGCUUGCUCCUGGAUUCAGCGGCGGACGGGUGAGUAAUGCCUAGGAAUCUGCCUUGUAGUGGGGGAUAACGUCCGGAAACGGGCGCUAAUACCGCAUACGUCCUGAGGGAGAAAGUGGGUGAUCUUCGGACCUCACGCUAUCAGAUGAGCCUAGGUCGGUUUAGCUAGUUGGUGGGGUAACUGCCUACCAAGGCUACGAUCCGUAACUGGUCUGAGGGGAUGAUCAGUCACACGGGAACUGAGACAGGGUCCAGACACCGACGGGAGGCAGCAGUGGGGAAUAUUAGGCGAUGGGCGAAAGCCUGAUACAGCAAUGCCGCGUGUGUGAAGAAGGUCUUCGGAUUGGAAAGCACUUUAAGUUGGGAGGAAGGGCAGUAAGUUAAUACCUUGCUGUUUUGACGGUACCGACAGAAUAAGCACCGGCUAACUUCGUG